CAAAGUGUGUGCGCAGGAGAGGAGCAGAGAGAGCUGCUUUUUCACGAAACGGAAGUAAAGUAGUGAAGUUCGAGGAGAGAAACAAACUAAAGUAUCGAUCAUAAACCACUACCAACGUCCUGAUCGAUAUCUGCAUCGAUCUGCCCACCCUUGUCUCCUGGAUCGUAGCUGAGAUCAGCGUGAACCACGUGGGUCUCUGCUCCCUGAUCUGUUCCCUGUGUUUGGAAAGAGUUGCAGCUUCAUCGCGGAGUUUCUCUCGGUUUGUGGGCUCAUCUAAAGCUGAGUAACAGGAGGAGAAGAGUCUGGUGGAGCAGCAGAGGAACAGUUUCAGCCAUUUGGACUCAGCUCAGCCACUACAGAGGAAACAAUGACUUCAACACAGGAGGACCAACAUGGAGCGAGAAGUGAGCGCUCUCAGGAGGCCGACAAACCUCACAGAAGAACUGGACGGAAAAACUACAGCUGUGAUGACUGUGGGAAGGGUUUUAUCCGGGCCGACAGCUUAAAAAGACACAAACUCAUCCACAGUGGAGUAAAAGCA